rnacentral:rRNA from 1 species
CCUACGGGUGGCAGCAGUAGGGAAGAAUGCUCAAUGGGGGAAACCCUGAAGCAGCAACGCCGCGUGGAGGAUGAAGGUUUUCGGAUUGUAAACUCCUUGUGUUAGAGAAGAGAAUGACGGUAGCUAAAGAAUAAGCAGCGGCUAACGCCGUGCCAGCAGCCGCGGUAAUACGGAGGGUGCAAGCGUUACUCGGAACCCCUGGGCGUAAAGAGCGCGUAGGCGGGAUAGCACGUCAGAUGUGAAAUCCUAUGGCUGAACCCUAGAACUGCAUUUGAAACUGUUAUUCUAGAGUAUGGGAGAGGUAGGUGGACUUCUUGGUGUAGGGGUCAAAUCCGUAGAGAUC